rnacentral:rRNA from 1 species
AAAGUCCCCUUCGGGGGAUAAGUAGAGUGGCGCACGGGUGAGUAACACGUAGGUAAUCUACCUUCGGGUGGGGAAUAACCCAGGGAAACUUGGGCUAACACCGCAUAAUGCAGCGGCACCACAUGGUGACAGUUGUUAAAGCGGGGGAUCUUAGGACCUCGCGCCUGAAGAGGAGCCUGCGGCGGAUUAGCUAGUUGGUGAGGUAACGGCUCACCAAGGUGACGAUCCGUAGCCGGCCUGAGAGGGCGGUCGGCCACACUGACACUGACAUACAGGUCAGACUCCUACGGGAGGCAGCAGUCGGGAAUUUUGGGCAAUGGGCGAAAGCCUGACCCAGCAACGCCGCGUGAAGGAUGAAAUCCCUCGGGAUGUAAACUUCGCAAGAAUGGGAAGAAUUAGUAGGGGUCAAUACCCCCUAUGAUGACGGUACCAUUUGUAAGCUCCGGCUAACUCCGUGCCAGCAGCCGCGGUAAUACGGGGGGAGCAAGCGUUGUUCGGAUUUACUGGGCGUAAAGGGCGCGUAGGCGGUCAGCACAAGUCAGUUGUGAAAUCUCCGGGCUUAACUCGGAAAGGUCAACUGAUACUGUGCGACUAGAGUGCGGAAGGGGCAACUGGAAUUCUCGGUGUAGCGGUGAAAUGCGUAGAUAUCGAGAGGAACACCUGCGGCGAAGGCGGGUUGCUGGGCCGACACUGACGCUGAUGCGCGAAAGCCAGGGGAGCGAACGGGAUUAGAUACCCCGGUAGUCCUGGCCUUAAACGAUGGAUGCUUGGUGUCUGGGGUUUUAUAGUCCCCGGGUGCCGCAGCUAACGCGUUAAGCAUCCCGCCUGGGGAGUACGGUCGCAAGACUG